UACAGAGGGUGCGAGCGUUAAUCGGAAUUACUGGGCGUAAAGCGCACGUAGGCGGCUUGGUAUGUCGGGUGUGAAAUCCCCGGGCUCAACCUGGGAACUGCAUCCGAAACUGCCUUGCUCGAGUAUGGGAGAGGGAAGUGGAAUUUCCGGUGUAGCGGUGAAAUGCGUAGAUAUCGGAAGGAACAUCAGUGGCGAAGGCGACUUCCUGGACCAAUACUGACGCUCAGGUGCGAAAGCGUGGGGAGCAAAACAGGG
rnacentral:rRNA from 1 species